UACGGAGGGUGCGAGCGUUGUCCGGAAUCACUGGGCGUAAAGAGCGUGUAGGCGGCUCGAUUAGUCCGCUGUAAAAGUCCAGGGCUCAACCCUGGGAUGCCGGUGGAAACUGUCGGGCUAGAGUCCGGGAGAGGCGAGUGGAAUUCCUGGUGUAGCGGUGAAAUGCGUAGAUAUCGGAAGGAACACCUGUGGCGAAAGCGGCUCACUGGACCAUUACUGACGCUGAGGCACGAAAGCUAGGGGAGCAAACAGG
rnacentral:rRNA from 1 species